AGAGGCCACUGCUAUCAGCGUCCGACUAAGCCAUGCGAGUCGUGGGCACCCCCUCAAGGGGGAGACCCGGCGGACGGCUCAGUAACACGUGGCUAACCUACCCUCGGGUCCGGGAUAACCCCGGGAAACUGGGGAUAAUACCGGAUAGGCCUCUGAUACCUGGAAUGGGCGGAGGCCGAAGGCCGUGAGGCGCCCGAGGAUGGGGCUGCGGCCGAUUAGGUAGUUGUCGGUUUAACGGACCGACAAGCCUACGAUCGGUACGGGCCGUGAGAGCGGGAGCCCGGAGAUGGGCUCUGAGACAAGAGCCCAGGCCCUACGGGGCGCAGCAGGCGCGAAACCUUCACAAUGCCCGAAAGGGCGAUGAGGGGACGCUGAGUGCCCUUCGGGGCUGUUCGGGUGCCUAAAAAGCACCCGGAGUAAGGGCUGGGUAAGACCGGUGCCAGCCGCCGCGGUAAUACCGGCAGCCCGAGUGGUGGCCGCGUUUAUUGGGCCUAAAGGGUCCGUAGCCGGUCGGGUAAGUUCCUCGGGAAACCUCGCCGCUCAACGGUGAGGCUUCCGGGGAAUACUGCCCGACUUGGGACCGGGAGGGGCCGGAGGUACUCCCGGGGUAGGGGUGAAAUCCGUUGAUCCC
rnacentral:rRNA from 1 species